rnacentral:rRNA from 1 species
AGCAGCAGCCGCGGUAAUACGUAGGUGGCAAGCGUUGUCCGGAAUUAUUGGGCGUAAAGCGCGCGCAGGCGGGUCAGUCAGUCUGUCUUAAAAGUUCGGGGCUUAACCCCGUGAGGGGAUGGAAACUGCUGAUCUAGAGUAUCGGAGAGGAAAGUGGAAUUCCUAGUGUAGCGGUGAAAUGCGUAGAUAUUAGGAAGAACACCAGUGGCGAAGGCGACUUUCUGGACGAAAACUGACGCUGAGGCGCGAAAGCCAGGGGAGCGAACGGGAUUAGAUACCCCUGUAGUCCCUGUCUCUUAUACA